UAGCUUGCUACCUGACCUAGCGGCGGACGGGUGAGUAAUGCUUAGGAAUCUGCCUAUUAGUGGGGGACAACAUUCCGAAAGGAAUGCUAAUACCGCAUACGCCCUACGGGGGAAAGCAGGGGAUCUUCGGACCUUGCGCUAAUAGAUGAGCCUAAGUCAGAUUAGCUAGUUGGUGGGGUAAAGGCCUACCAAGGCGACGAUCUGUAGCGGGUCUGAGAGGAUGAUCCGCCACACUGGGACUGAGACACGGCCCAGACUCCUACGGGAGGCAGCAGUGGGGAAUAUUGGACAAUGGGCGAAAGCCUGAUCCAGCCAUGCCGCGUGUGUGAAGAAGGCCUUUUGGUUGUAAAGCACUUUAAGCGAGGAGGAGGCUACUUGGAUUAAUACUCUAGGAUAGUGGACGUUACUCGCAGAAUAAGCACCGGCUAACUCUGUGCCAGCAGCCGCGGUAAUACAGAGGGUGCGAGCGUUAAUCGGAUUUACUGGGCGUAAAGCGUGCGUAGGCGGCUUUUUAAGUCGGAUGUGAAAUCCCUGAGCUUAACUUAGGAAUUGCAUUCGAUACUGGGAAGCUAGAGUAUGGGAGAGGAUGGUAGAAUUCCAGGUGUAGCGGUGAAAUGCGUAGAGAUCUGGAGGAAUACCGAUGGCGAAGGCAGCCAUCUGGCCUAAUACUGACGCUGAGGUACGAAAGCAUGGGGAGCAAACAGGAUUAGAUACCCUGGUAGUCCAUGCCGUAAACGAUGUCUACUAGCCGUUGGGGCCUUUGAGGCUUUAGUGGCGCAGCUAACGCGAUAAGUAGACCGCCUGGGGAGUACGGUCGCAAGACUAAAACUCAAAUGAAUUGACGGGGGCCCGCACAAGCGGUGGAGCAUGUGGUUUAAUUCGAUGCAACGCGAAGAACCUUACCUGGUCUUGACAUAGUAAGAACUUUCCAGAGAUGGAUUGGUGCCUUCGGGAACUUACAUACAGGUGCUGCAUGGCUGUCGUCAGCUCGUGUCGUGAGAUGUUGGGUUAAGUCCCGCAACGAGCGCAACCCUUUUCCUUAUUUGCCAGCGGGUUAAGCCGGGAACUUUAAGGAUACUGCCAGUGACAAACUGGAGGAAGGCGGGGACGACGUCAAGUCAUCAUGGCCCUUACGACCAGGGCUACACACGUGCUACAAUGGUCGGUACAAAGGGUUGCUACCUAGCGAUAGGAUGCUAAUCUCAAAAAGCCGAUCGUAGUCCGGAUUGGAGUCUGCAACUCGAC
rnacentral:rRNA from 1 species